rnacentral:rRNA from 1 species
UACGAAGGGGCUAGCGUUGCUCGGAAUCACUGGGCGUAAAGCGCACGUAGGCGGAUUGUUAAGUCAGGGGUGAAAUCCUGGAGCUCAACUCCAGAACUGCCUUUGAUACUGGCGAUCUUGAGUCCGGGAGAGGUGAGUGGAACUGCGAGUGUAGAGGUGAAAUUCGUAGAUAUUCGCAAGAACACCAGUGGCGAAGGCGGCUCACUGGCCCGGUA